rnacentral:rRNA from 1 species
ACGAACGCUGGCGGCGUGCUUAACACAUGCAAGUCGAACGGAAAGGCCCUGCUUUUGUGGGGUGCUCGAGUGGCGAACGGGUGAGUAACACGUGAGUAACCUGCCCUUGACUUUGGGAUAACUUCAGGAAACUGGGGCUAAUACCGGAUAGGAGCUCCUGCUGCAUGGUGGGGGUUGGAAAGUUUCGGCGGUUGGGGAUGGACUGGCGGCUUAUCAGCUUGUUGGUGGGGUAGUGGCUUACCAAGGCUUUGACGGGUAGCCGGCCUGAGAGGGUGACCGGCCACAUUGGGACUGAGAUACGGCCCAGACUCCUACGGGAGGCAGCAGUGGGGAAUAUUGCACAAUGGGCGGAAGCCUGAUGCAGCAACGCCGCGUGCGGGAUGACGGCCUUCGGGUUGUAAACCGCUUUCGCCUGUGACGAAGCGUGAGUGACGGUAAUGGGUAAAGAAGCACCGGCUAACUACGUG